GUACGGCGAGUGNNGAGGAAGAGCUCAAAGUUGGAACCUGUUUGGCCUAGCUAAACNNNNNNNNNNNNNNNNGAAGUGUUUUCCAGGCAAGCCGAGUAAAUAAGUCCUUUGGAACAGGGCAUCAUAGAGGGUGAGAAUCCCGUCUUUGGCUUGAGCAUUUGCCUUUUGUGAUACGCUUUCAAAGAGUCAGGUUGUUUGGGAAUGCAGCCUAAAUUGGGUGGUAAAUCUCACCUAAAGCUAAAUAUUGGCGAGAAACCGAUAGCGAACAAGUACCGUGAGGGAAAGAUGAAAAGAACUUUGAAAAGAGAGUUAAACAGUAUGUGAAAUUGUUAAAAGGGAACCGUUUGGAGCCAGACUGGCUUGUCUGUAAUCAAUCUAGGCUUCGGCCUGGAUGCACUUGCAGGCUAUGCCUGCCAACGACAAUUUGACUUGAGGGAAAAAACUAGGGGAAAUGUGGCCCACUUGUGGGUGUUAUAGUCCCUUAGAAAAUACCUUGGGUUGGAUUGAGGAACGCAGCGAAUGCUUAUUGGCGAGUUUUCCAGGAAGGUUUUCUGAGGUACUACGGUAUCAAGGUUGAUCUUUUUGGUUAUACUUCUAUUCGCUUAGGUUGUUGGCU
rnacentral:rRNA from 1 species